UGCCAGCCGCCGCGGUAAGACAGAGGGUGCAAGCGUUGUUCGGAAUUAUUGGGCGUAAAGCGCGCGUAGGCGGUUUUGUAAGUCGGGUGUGAAAGCCCGGGGCUCAACCCCGGAAGUGCACUCGAAACUGCAAGACUUGAGUCCCGGAGAGGGUGGUGGAAUUCCUGGUGUAGAGGUGAAAUUCGUAGAUAUCAGGAGGAACACCCGUGGCGAAGGCGACCACCUGGACGGUGACUGACGCUGAGGUGCGAAAGCGUGGGGAGCAAACAGGAUUAGAUA
rnacentral:rRNA from 1 species